AGUGAACGCUGGCGGUAGGCCUAACACAUGCAAGUCGAACGGCAGCACAGUAAGAGCUUGCUCUUACGGGUGGCGAGUGGCGGACGGGUGAGGAAUACAUCGGAAUCUACUUUUUCGUGGGGGAUAACGUAGGGAAACUUACGCUAAUACCGCAUACGACCUACGGGUGAAAGCAGGGGAUCUUCGGACCUUGCGCGAUUGAAUGAGCCGAUGUCGGAUUAGCUAGUUGGCGGGGUAAAGGCCCACCAAGGCGACGAUCCGUAGCUGGUCUGAGGGGAUGUUCAGCCACACUGGAACUGAGAGACGGUCCAGACUCCUACGGGAGGCAGCGGUGGGGAAUAUUGGACAAUGGGCGCAAGCCUGAUCCAGCCAUGCCGGGUGGGUGAAGAAGGCCUUCGGGUUGUAAAGCCCUUUUGUUGGGAAAGAAAAGCAGCAGGUUAAUACCCCGCUGUUCUGACGGUACCCAAAGAAUAAGCACCGGCUAACUUCGU
rnacentral:rRNA from 1 species